rnacentral:rRNA from 1 species
AGCGAACGCUGGCGGCAGGCUUAACACAUGCAAGUCGAACGCCCCGCAAGGGGAGUGGCAGACGGGUGAGUAACACGUGGGAACGUACCCUUUGGUUCGGAAUAACUUGGGGAAACUCAAGCUAAUACCGGAUAAGCCCUUAUGGGGAAAGGUUUACUGCCGAAGGAUCGGCCCGCGUCUGAUUAGCUAGUUGGUGAGGUAAUGGCUCACCAAGGCGACGAUCAGUAGCUGGUCUGAGAGGAUGAUCAGCCACACUGGGACUGAGACACGGCCCAGACUCCUACGGGAGGCAGCAGUGGGGAAUAUUGGACAAUGGGGGCAACCCUGAUCCAGCCAUGCCGCGUGAGUGAUGAAGGCCUUAGGGUUGUAAAGCUCUUUUACCCGGGACGAUAAUGACUGUACCGGGAGAAUAAGCCCCGGCUAACUUCGUGCCAGCCGCCGCCGUAAAAC